CGGAUUCGAAUCAACGAAAUCGUUGAAUCGUCGGUUCCAAAAAAGAAGGGACGUUUGGUCGGUUUGGGUCGUCGCUCCCGCUCGGCUGCUCCUUUUUCUGCACCACCGCCCUUUGUUGAUCAGAAGUACUUACGGCUCAGUUGAAGGACAAGGAUGAUCGCAUAUCUUUGUUGGAGAACCAGAUGGCGGCUCAACAGGCGGGCUAUGAGGCACAGAAGAGACUGAACGAGCAAAUGAUGGAGAUGAUAAAGAUGAUGUACCCGAACGAGGUGUUCCCGAACGUGCAAGACCCGUAGUUUUUUUUUUUUUUCAAAAACUCAGAAUGUUUUAUUUUUAUUUGUACAACUUUGAAUAUUAUCUAAUAUGUUUUCAAUUUUAAUUUUAAUUUUAUAUUUUUGAAUUAAAAUUCAAAAAUUUUAAUUUAAAAAAAUAUAUUUUUUUCGAAAUUCCGAGGAAAUGGACCCUCGAAAAUUUCCGACGAACAUUUCCUCGGAAUAAGUCGUCGAAAUAUACCGAGAGACUAUUCCUCGGAAUUAUCCGAGGGCCACGUUCCUCGGAAAUUCCCGAUGAAAAUUCCGAGGAACGUUUCGUCGGAACUUCCAAGGAUUGGACCAUAGGAAAGUCCAUCAAAAUAUUCCGAGGAAGUCCUCCCUCAGUAUAUUCCGAGGACUUUUCCGACGAACUGGUGGUCCUCGGAGUUUCCUCGGAAUUCCGUCGAAAAUUUUCGAGGGAUUUCCGAGGAAAAAUGAAUUUCCGAAGAGUUUUUUCCGAGGAUUUUUUUUGUCGGUAUGUCGUCGGAAUAACACUAUUCCGACGACAUACCGACGAUUUUUUGCCUCGGUAUGCCGCUGUUUUCUUGUAGUGUUACAUUUAUAAUGGAUUUGAUGAUGACAAAUUCAAUUUGAAGACAUAAAUCAGAUAGAAAAAUAGAGACACAGCUAUUUAGAUAACUUCUAAACCUUUUUUCUUUUGAGUAAAAUUGUGAUCGAUAGAAUGAUUAUAACUUCUAAUCUAGAGAUAGAGAAAGACAGGCGGUUGCAUGUGACACCUCAUAUUUUCGAUCAUUUUAGUGUUAUGAGUUGUAUUUAAGCGUUAUUUAUAUGCAUUAAGUGUUAGGGUCAUGGUUAAAAAUUUUGAGACCACUCUAAGAAUAAAAUUACACAAUUAGAAAGUGUUGCGCCAAGUAACAGUUUUCUAAAAGAAGAAGAACUUAAUAUGGAAAAAGAAAGAAUACACAUGACACGUUUCAGCAAAUCUUCCUUCCACAUGUCAUACGAAGAGGAAAUUUUUUACUAUAUAUAUAUAUAGAUAGAUGUUUUUGACCAAAAAAUAUUUACUAAAUAUAUAUAUAUAUAUAUAUAUAUAUCAAUUUAUUUCUCAGUUUUAAAUGUUUUUUUAUUACCGCACAAACUGUCAAAAAAUAGUUUGAAGUGUAAUGAAGAAGCAAUUGUUUCAAAUAAUUACACCAAUCUCUCAAACUAAUCAAUAAUUUUUUUUGUCAGCAAUAAUAUUUAUAUCGAUAAACACUCUUUCUCUGAAAUUCUCAUUAGGAGAAUUUACCAACAAUGACCUAAACUUGAUUUUAAAUGCAAAAGUAUACUCCAACUUCAGUCAAAUGCAAAUUUAACCCAAAAUACUAAUGAAAUUACAACUAGCCCCUUAUGACAAAAAAAAAACAGUAUGCAUUUUUACGAAUACAACUCCGGGAGGUUUUUUUUGGUUUUGUAAAUCUUAGACUUCCUAGAAGUCUUCUCAUGUGUUAAAUCUUAAAAAAAUUUUUAUCAAUUUUAUAAAAAAAAUUAUAGAAGAAAAUUGAAAUUAUGUAACUAUAACCAAUUGUAAAUGAUAGAAAUUAAUAUCUAGUAAAAUUGAAUUGCUUUCAAAAUAGAUGAGUGAUUGUAGAUUGAGUCAUGAAUGAUAUUCUGUGGUUUAGGAUUUGGUAACAUAUGUUAUAGUAUUGUAUGUAAUUUUUGGAUUAUAUUAUGGAAUCUUAUAUUUUUUUUAAAUUUUUUUUAACAUAUAUGUGUUUAGGUUUAAUGAACUUUUUCUUUCUGCGAAGUUAUUUAUUUGAUUUUAGGGUUUAUGUGACUUAAGUUUUCUAAAAAUAAUGCACUAGCAGAUUUCAGGGAAAGUCUUAUGGGCGAAAAGUAAAUUUAGGGUCUAGAAGACUUCUCUGAAAGUCUGGAAGUCUUCUGAAUCGAAAAUAUUUAACCUUAUUGGAAUUUUUGUCUCUCUAUAUAAAAAAAUUUACACAUUAUUUUUGUUCCUCUCAAAUGGCUGUAACAAUAAUGUAAUGUUUCUCACUCCAAAACUCUUCAACCUCUCUCUAAUAUUUUGGAACUUGAAAACACCAAACUUUCUAUCAAUUUCUCAUUUUCGUCUCAUGUGUUUUCUCACUGAUUUAUCUUGUUUUGCAAGUUUUCCAUUACAUAGUUCUCAUCUUCCGCUCCUUUAAAGAUAUAUCCAUAAAUCAUUUUUCUUCAUUUGGUAACCUCUUGUUGUUUAAAUCUCUUACUUUUUGAAUACUUUUUUUGUUUCUUAAGACUCUUACCUUAUUUGUUAAGCUUUUCUCUGUUGUGAAGUCAUUUAAAUGCUUUUGGAUAUAAAGAUUGUUCAGAUCUGAGUCAGACUUUGGAAGUCAUGGAGUCUUUUUCCAUGUAUCCUCUUUUAUAACAGAUCUGACUGUUUUGAUAAGUCUCCAUGUCUGAUUUUCUUCAUUUGGUAACCUCAUGUUGCUUGAAUCUCUUACCUUUUGAAAACCAUUUUUGUUUCUUAAAGCUCUUAUCUUAUUUGAGAAGAUUUUUUCUAUUUUGAAUUCAUUUGAAUGCUUUUGGAUACGCAUGUUUUUCAUAUCUGAGUCAGACUUUAGAAAACUUUUGAGAUGUCUUCUCGGAAGUUUUUUAACGUAUAAUGCAUUAGAAAUGACUUAUGUCGGAGUGCUCUCCCAUGUCUCAUGUGCAUAACAUAUCUGAGCGUUUGGUUAGUCUCAAUGUCUAAUUUUUCUUCAUUUGGUAGUAUCUUUUGCUUAAAGCUCUAAUAUUUUGAAAUAUUUUUGUUGCUUAAAGCUCUUACCCUAUUUUUGAAGUUUUUUUCUGUUUUGGAGUCAUAUGAAUAUGCAGGUUUUCUAGAUCCGAGUUAGACUUAAAUCUUCUCAGAAGUCUUCUAACAUAAAAUGCAAUAGAAGACUUCCUGAAAGUCUUCUAGCGGAGUCUUCUCCCAUGUCUCCUCUUUCAUAAUAGAUCUGGAAGUCUUCCAAGAUGUUAUUCAAGAACAUGAACAUCAGGACGAUCAAAGUUUAUGAUGGUAUGUCAAGUGGAGUCCAAGCUUAUCUAUGUGGAGGAGUGAUCUCGAACUCCAAUGUAAUAUUUUUUUUAUGGUUUGUUUUCUGAUUUGCAUGUGUACUCUUUAAGUUGUGGAUUCUUUGGUAAAUUUGAAGAGAUGUUAAUAAAAAUAAUUUGGUAGAUAUGUUCACGUCUACAAUAUAAACUUGCCAAAAUUACUUGACAUUAUUGAAGUUAUUGAUAUGAAUUCUAUAGCAAAACACAAUAACACAAAAAUUUAGUCAAAUUUACUAAACCUAAGGGAAUAAGACUUCUAAAAAAAAACAUAGUCAAACUCACAAAAAUUCAAACAUUACAUAAGUUCAAACAUAUAAGACUUUCACUAAAAAAUUUUGAAAGCCUUCUAGAGUCUUCUUAGAAGACUUCUUGGAAGACUUAAAUUUUAAAGGAGGAAUUUUAAACGGAAUUUAAAAUAUAUGCAGGAAAAUAAAAUUCAAGCGGAAUACUUAAAUUUUAAGUGAAAACUGAUAUUUUAAAUCACAUGAAAGUUAAAAAAAAAAGAAGUAUAACUUACUAUCUAAGAAAACUUACUAUCUAAGAAAACACAUUAAACCCCAUGACUAAAUAUUCUUGAAAUUACUUAACACUUUUGAAAUCUAAAAAUAUAUCUUGAAGUUACUUAACACGGAAAAAAAUAUAUUGGUAACCUCAUAAUUAUCACAAACUAAGUUAUUAAUUUCAUUCAGUAACCCAAAAAUUGACUAAUACACAUGAAUUAACAAAAGAAUAUUAAAAAGUCGUUUUAAGUUUAGAGAAAAUAAAAGUUUAUUAAACAUUGACCUAGAAUACAAAUUUACAAAAGAAGACUUCCAGAGAACUCCGCAGCAAACUUCUAUAGAAGUAUUCCCUUGUAAAUAUUGGCUUGUUUUUAUUUUUGAAAAGUUAUCAAAAAUAGAAGAGAGGACUAACAUGGAAGUCCUCUUGGAUAAACAGUUUAGUUUUUUAAUUGACCGAAUUGUGUCAAAUUUUUUAACUUCUAUAAAAUACUUCCUGAUAAAAAACUUCCCGGGAAGUCUUCCGUUGGAAUACUCUUGGAAAGACUAGUCUUCCGACGUAAGACUUCUGGGAAAUCUUCUCAACUGUCAGUGGAAGUCUUCUUACUCUCGGUGAAAGUCUAUCUAGGUUAGUUUUGCAAUUGACAAUUCAAAUUAAAUAUUUAAUUUUAAUUGGAAUUACGGAAUAGAAAGAUAAAAGACUUUGAGGGAAGUCUUCUAACUAAAAUUAAAUAGUUAACUUUUAAUAGUCAAUCGCAAAACUAACCUACGCAGUGUUCCACCGACAGUGAGAAGAAUUCCAUGGAAGUUGAGAAGACUUCAUAAGAGUCUUCUGACGGAAGACUUUCCUAGAGGUCUUCUAUAGAAACUCAAAUUUCUGACACAAUUCUGUCACUUGCAAAACUAACAUGUUUAUCCGAGAAGAUUUCUAGGGAAGUCUUCUCAUAUUUUUUUGUUAACAAAAAAAAGUUGAAGGACUUCCAGCAAACUUGUCUCUAAGAAACACAUAAAGAAAUUCAAUUGUAAAACUAACCUAUGCAUUGACCAUAAGACUUCCGUAAAUGUUUUGUCUGGAGAAGUCUUCUUCACAAAAACCGAUCUUAAAAAAAAUUCAAAGAUCAUUCUUUGAUCUGGUGAGCUUCAUGUUUACCUUAUCCAUGCACACAUAUAAUUUCUUAAUAAAAGUUACCCACUCGUUCUCGACCAAGAAUCAUGAGCUUGAAUGGCUCUAUCAACCUUAUCAAGUUUGGAAUAAAAAUCACUGGAUUUUUUUGGAUGAAUAUAGAGAGAAUUUUGAAACAAAUGUAAUUUGUAUGGAUAAGAAAUGAGAUAAGAGGAGAAGAGCUUCAAAUUUGUUAUUCAUGGGGGUUAGUGUAUUGAUGGCAAUGACAAUAUUGUAAAUACUUGAUGAAAGUAGGGAUGAUAGAGAAAAACUCUCAUUUUAGAAAACAAAAUUAAAAAAUUGCAUUUCGUGAAUAAUCCAAAAUUUAAAGGUGAAUAAGACAAAUGAAAGUUCUAAAAAAAAGGGUUACAUUUGCAUUUUACUUUUUUGGGUCAUAUUUGAUAAAAAAAUACUUAUUAUAUUAUUGCUCAACCAGCUAAUCUUUUUUCAGCUGCAAAAAGAACAUAGUGAAUAUACAAUAGAUAAUUUAUAGACUAUUAAAAUGUACUAAUAAUUUUGUUAUAUUUUACUAUUUUAGGCUGAGUUUUUGUUCAUAUAAAAAAAGAAAAAUACUUUAUUCUCAUUAUCAUAAGCUGAUAAAUUAUGAUAAAUGGUAAACAAUUUUCUAAUAUUAAUUACUUUUCUGAGAUUAAUUAUAGAUAGUUUGAAUAAAUAAUUGUUUAUUAAUAUUAUGAUAUAUUUAAAAGAAAUACCUAAUAUAAAAAAUUUGAAAAUUGCGGAAAGAAAAUUAGUAUUUUGGGAAGAACAUCAGUAAAGAACAUCAUGCGCUAGUGGAAAAAUACAAAGGUUACAAAUCGACUCUUUUUUUUCUUUGUGGCACAAUGGCCUAGUAGUUCCUCUUAAUAGAAGCAGUUGCAGGGUUCAAACCCCGCUUGGUGAGAUGAUAGCAGAGGUGGUGCGACCACUGAUCCACUUGCUCCUCUUAGUUACAAACCGAUUCAAAUGAAUAGAUAAUAUUAUAUAGAUAUAUCCUGGGAAAAAAAUAGACACAUUUUCAAGACAUGGCUGGCACAAGAGGAAGAAGCAGGGGUUUGGAUGCGAACAAAGUGUUUUCACCCUACUAUGUGCUCGGUUUGAGAACUCGGUACAAUAUUACUAAGUCUUGAAAACAAACAAACGGCCUAUGAGGAUUCAACGCCCAUGCCGAGCUCAAGGAACGGUCCAUGUUAGGCUGACAUAUUUAAACCAUAAAUAAGGUCAAAGCAUUAAAGGCGACUAUAAAAGCACUUGAUACUCUCCGGAGAUCAGUAGCCGUUACUUUCCAUUUUUGGAGACCUAUAAAAGAAAUCUUAAGGACAAGAACAAGAGGAACAUAUUUCCUUAAUGAAUCUAUACUUUCAAUACUCGCCCAGCAGCCCGAAACAUAGCAGCUCGGCUGCUCAGCCAAAAUGGACUUUUGUUCAUUCAACCAUCCCAAACAAUGCAAAGUACCGCCAACACUGUCCGUCAAUACAGAAGCUCUAUUAAACCAAGUACCGGAACAUUUAUGACAUGUUAUUUGUGUUUUGCUUCAACGUGCAGGUUAGAAGGAUACAACUGAACAACAAACCCUGCAACUUCUUGAACAAAUCACUCACACAAAAGGCAGAGCAACAACCUUAGAUCAACAGCUUAUUAACUAUAUCGCUGAGGACUCCACAAAGCGUAGCCCUAGGAGGACGUAUAACGUCAACAAGACUCAAUAAGUUGGACAUUAAUCAUUGAUCUAAACUGGAUGAUAGAAACAAAAAACACAUGCGGUGAGAUCAAUGAUCUCAAAAGCAACUUAGCCCAGACCCAAGCCGACCUCCGAAUGAUCCCAGUCCCAUUUCCAUCGAGCUACCAGCUCGGCUCAUGAAGUAAACAAAGUCAUAUAAGAAACGCAUAGGACUCCAUUCAUAGUUCGUAUCACCAGAAAUUAUAUCAAAACAUCAAACUCAAGAUUCCCCCAUAUGAUGGAAAGACAGGUCCCAGGCUCACAUGACCGCCUACACAUAGCAAUACGGCGAACUCGCUUCAACGAUAGAGAACAAGAUGUCAGUUACUGCCACCUUUGUGUUGAGAAUAUGGCAUGAGCAGGUCUCAACUGGUUUUUGAUAUGCUAAAAUUAACCCUAACCAACUUUCUCAAAUAAGAGUCUCAUCGUACUAAUUGAGGAUCAAAUCCACAAAGACUCAAUGUUUCACACAAUACAUUUAAUUUCGGAUUAAGCUAGGCCGAAAAAAGAAAACAAUAAACAAAGCAAUAGAUCUAAACGGUUGUAUGUUAGCAAGAAAAAGCACAAGACUCAAGGAUUUAUCAAUCAAGAGAUUCAAAACGUAAAUCACUAGAUGCCAAGGGUUUUAUAUGGUUCAAUUCCAUAACUCAAAUAUUAAUAAUAAGUUAUCCAAUUCUCAUUGCGACAAAAUAUCAAAUGCCUAACUUUAAUCAAAUGCCAACUCUCGUUCUGGAUAUGAUGAAUCAAAUAAGCAUUCGAAAUAUUAGAAUAUGUUUAACUAAAUUCUUAGACCAACUUUUGGUGCAAAUAAAAUCUAGUCCAUCAGGAUUAUGUUCAGGUAUUGAUUACACUCUUGUGUUUCAAAAUGACCAUAUGAUUUUUGGUUCUUGAUACCAGCUCAAAUUAUCCCAUAGCCAACUUUUACUCUCUUAAAUAAGAGAUUCAACUAUAGUACAUGGGGAUCGAAUUCACAGGGAGCGUGGGCAUACAGUAAAUCAGAUUAAAUGUAUAAUCAAGUUAGCAAAAGAAUAUAUUAAAAUAGUAAAUGAUUAAUAAGACAGUAAAUAAGAUAGAUGUGGUUUGCAAACAGAUAAGACAUAAGCUAUACUUUCAGGUUUAGGUAAUCCAAAUUAUGAUUUGAAUGUUAAAAACAUGUGAUAAUCAAUCCUAGAAAUCGAAUGAAAAUAUAAGACUCCAGCUCUCACUGUGAGUCUACAUGUUUGAACAUGUAACACAUUUUUUUAUGCGAUACGAAACGAGUGUCGAUGGAUACACCAAUAGGGUGUCGAUCGAUACACCUAUAGGGUGUCGUUCGAUACGCUUCCAAACAUGCAUUAAUGAUCGGAUCGAUAAGUUCACUAAGUCGACAAUAAACCAGCGCUGUGCCUAAUAACUUAGCUCAAGAUAAUUAUAUUCAUGUAUGAAUCUACUCUCACAGUUGUCAAUCCUAAGAUCAAAAUUCUAGUUAGCUACUCUAGAAUGUAGGAAAUAAGAUCUAACUCGGUGAAGGAUUUCCAUUAAUAACCUUAGCAUUACUAAAUCAAUAAUUCAUCAUAACCUUAUUAAACCCUAAGUCUAACAAGAAUUCUACUCAGACAUAAUCAAGCAGGACACAAAAAUAAACAGAAUGAAUUGCGUAAUUAGAUUGGAAA